AUUGCCUUAGUAACGGCGAGUGAAGCGGCAAAAGCUCAAAUUUGAAAUCUGGUACCUUCGGUGCCCGAGUUGUAAUUUGGAGAGGGCAACUUUGGGGCCGUUCCUUGUCUAUGUUCCUUGGAACAGGACGUCAUAGAGGGUGAGAAUCCCGUGUGGCGAGGAGUGCGGUUCUUUGUAAAGUGCCUUCGAAGAGUCGAGUUGUUUGGGAAUGCAGCUCUAAGUGGGUGGUAAAUUCCAUCUAAAGCUAAAUAUUGGCGAGAGACCGAUAGCGAACAAGUACAGUGAUGGAAAGAUGAAAAGAACUUUGAAAAGAGAGUGAAAAAGUACGUGAAAUUGUUGAAAGGGAAGGGCAUUUGAUCAGACAUGGUGUUUUGUGCCCUCUGCUCCUUGUGGGUAGGGGAAUCUCGCAUUUCACUGGGCCAGCAUCAGUUUUGGUGGCAGGAUAAAUCCAUAGGAAUGUAGCUUGCCUCGGUAAGUAUUAUAGCCUGUGGGAAUACUGCCAGCUGGGACUGAGGACUGCGACGUAAGUCAAGGAUGCUGGCAUAAUGGUUAUAUGCCGCCCGUCUUGAAACACGGACCUCCUG
rnacentral:rRNA from 1 species